rnacentral:lncRNA from 1 species
GAAUCAUUCAUGAAUCAGAUCAAGGAUCUGAUGUCAAAAGCGGAGAUCAGAGCAUAAGACUUCAAAGAUCCACAUACAAAUCUCCUAGAAUUCACGGAGGGAGAGAGAGCGAGAGAUGGUUAAAGAAAAAGCGGCAAUUGCCAUCAGUGUGGAACAGAGAGAAGGACAGCAGACCACAUUAUAGCAUGUAGCAGAAGUUACUGGGAAACCUUCAGUGGUGGACCUACGCCUCCUCCGGAGUUACAUGAUUUGUUCGCGUCUCUCUUUCUCGUUUCCCACAGGAACAGAUCCUCAAAAGUCAUGGCGUGGAUGAACCAAAAAGACUGUGGUUGGAUGAACUGAUGAGGACCACAUGCAAUCACCGAGCAAUAAAUACAGCAUCAAAGAGGGUCGCUGCCCGGUUGAUGAGAGACAUUUGCCCCUUCGUCGCACGUCGAGGGUUGAAAUCAUCCUCCCCAGCUGCCUUCCUGCAUUUUUCGCCCGACCUCCCGCGGUGCUUCACCCUCC